GAUGAACGCUGACAGAAUGCUUAACACAUGCAAGUCGAACGAGUGGCGGACGGGUGAGUAAUGUCUGGGAAACUGCCUGAAGGAGGGGGAUAACUACUGGAAACGGUAGCUAAUACCGCAUACCAUCGGAUGUGCCCAGAUGGGAUUAGCUUGUUGGUGGGGUAACGGCUCACCAAGGCGACGAUCCCUAGCUGGUCUGAGAGGAUGACCAGCCACCCUGGAACUGAGACACGGUCCAGACUCCUACGGGAGGCUGCAGUGGGGAAUAUUGCACGAUGGGCGCAAGCCUGAUGCAGCCAUGCCGCUUGUAUGAAGAAGGCCUUCGGGUUGUAAAGUACUUUCAGCGGUGAUGCGUUACCCGCAGAAGAAGCACCGGCUAACUCCGUGCCAGCAGCCGCGGUAAUUC
rnacentral:rRNA from 1 species